rnacentral:tRNA from 1 species
GGGACUGUAGCUCAGCCCGGGAGAGCGCCAGGCUGAAGACCUGGGUGUCGCCAGUUCAAAUCUGGCCAGUCCCA